GUUCCGGUGGCAUAAUGGUUAGAGCGUCCGCCUCAGAUACUGGAGGUCGUGGGUUCGAUCCCCGGUCGAGUCG